rnacentral:rRNA from 1 species
GAACGAUGAAGGCCCAGCUUGCUGGGUUGGAUUAGUGGCGAACGGGUGAGUAUCACGUGAGUAACCUGCCCUUCACUUCGGGAUAACUUCGAGAAAUCGGGGCUAAUACCGGAUGUUCUGUCUGCACCGCAUGGUGUGGGUUGGAAAGAUUUAUCGGUGGAGGAUGGGCUCGCGGCCUAUCAGUUUGUUGGUGAGGUGAUGGCUCACCAAGGCGAUGACGGGUAGCCGGCCUGAGAGGGCGACCGGCCACACUGGGACUGAGACACGGCCCAGACUCCUACGGGAGGCAGCAGUGGGGAAUAUUGCACAAUGGGCGGAAGCCUGAUGCAGCGACGCCGCGUGGGGGAUGACGGCCUUCGGGUUGUAAACCUCUUUCAGUAGGGAAGAAGCCUUUGGGUGACGGUACCUGCAGAAGAAGCGCCGGCUAACUACGUGCCAGCAGCCGCGGUAAUACGUAGGGCGCAAGCGUUGUCCGGAAUUAUUGGGCGUAAAGAGCUUGUAGGUGGCUUGUCGCGUCUGCCGUGAAAACCCAAUGCUUAACGUUGGGCGUGCGGUGGGUACGGGCAGGCUAGAGUGUGGUAGGGGAGACUGGAAUUCCUGGUGUAGCGGUGAAAUGCGCAGAUAUCAGGAGGAACACCGAUGGCGAAGGCAGGUCUCUGGGCCAUUACUGACACUGAGAAGCGAAAGCAUGGGGAGCGAACAGGAUUAGAUACCCUGGUAGUCCAUGCCGUAAACGUUGGGCACUAGGUGUGGGGAACAUUCCACGUUUUCCGCGCCGCAGCUAACGCAUUAAGUGCCCC